GGACCUAAGGCGAAGCCGAACGGCGUAGUCGAUGGCAAAUGGGUUAAUAUUCCCAUACUUGAUAUACAGGUGAUGGAGUGACGGAGUGAUGAAAGACACGCCCGGUGACGGAAUACCGGGUUAAAGCAUGUAGGUAUUGGAUUCAUAGUUAAAUGCGUGGAUCUAGCCGAAAGUGAUAGUACCGAGCGUCUACGGACAAUCGGAUAGUUGUCCUAAGGGCUUCCAAGAAAAACUUCUAGCGUUAAGCGUAUAUCGACCCGUACCGCAAACCGACACAGGUGGUCAAGGAGAGAAUCCUGAGGUGCUCGAGUGAAUCAUGGCUAAGGAACUCGGCAAAAUGGCCCUGUAACUUCGGGAGAAGGGGCGCCUACCCACGAUAGUGGGAGGCCGCAGUGAAAAGGCCCAGGCGACUGUUUAGCAAAAACACAUGGCUUUGCGAAGUGGCAACACGAAGUAUAAGGCCUGACACCUGCCCGGUGCCGGAAGGUUAAGAGGGGAUGUUAUC
rnacentral:rRNA from 1 species